rnacentral:sRNA from 2 species
UUAAAAGGAACGCAGUCUAAGGUCGCCGCGUCCUGCGGCAACGACUGCAUGAUCUGCAUCAUGCAGA